rnacentral:rRNA from 1 species
AGUCGUAACAAGGUCUCCGUAGGUGAACCUGCGGAGGGAUCAUUACACAAAUAUGAAGGCGGGCUGGAACCUCUCGGGGUUACAGCCUUGCUGAAUUAUUCACCCUUGUCUUUUGCGUACUUCUUGUUACCUUGGUGGGUUCGCCCACCACUAGGACAAACAUAAACCUUUUGUAAUUGCAAUCAGCGUCAGUAACAAAUUAAUAAUUACAACUUUCAACAACGGAUCUCUUGGUUCUGGCAUCGAUGAAGAACGCAGCGAAAUGCGAUAAGUAGUGUGAAUUGCAGAAUUCAGUGAAUCAUCGAAUCUUUGAACGCACAUUGCGCCCUUUGGUAUUCCAAAGGGCAUGCCUGUUCGAGCGUCAUUUGUACCCUCAAGCUUUGCUUGGUGUUGGGCGUCUUGUCUCUAGCUUUGCUGGAGACUCGCCUUAAAGUAAUUGGCAGCCGGCCUACUGGUUUCGGAGCGCAGCACAAGUCGCACUCUCUAUCAGCAAAGGUCUAGCAUCCAUUAAGCCUUUUUUUUCAACUUUUGACCUCGGAUCAGGUAGGGAUACCCGCUGAACUUAAGCAUAUCAAUAGGAAGUAAAAGUCG